rnacentral:rRNA from 1 species
AGAGUUUGAUCCUGGCUCAGAUUGAACGCUGGCGGCAGGCCCAACACAUGCAAGUCGAACGGUAACGGGAAGCAGCUUGCUGCUUCGCUGACGAGUGGCGGACGGGUGAGUAAUGUCUGGGAAGCUGCCUGAUGGAGGGGGAUAACUACUGGAAACGGUAGCUAAUACCGCAUAAUGUCGCAAGACCAAAGAGGGGGACCUUCGGGCCUCUCGCCAUCGGAUGUGCCCAGAUGGGAUUAGCUUGUUGGUGGGGUAACGGCUCACCAAGGCGACGAUCCCUAGCUGGUCUGAGAGGAUGACCAGCCACACCGGAACUGAGACACGGUCCAGACUCCUACGGGGGGCAGCAGUGGGGAAUAUUGCACAAUGGGCGCAAGCCUGAUGCAGCCAUGCCGCGUGUAUGAAGAAGGCCUUCGGGUUGUAAAGUACUUUCAGCGGGGAGGAAGGGAGUAAAGUUAAUACCUUUGCUCAUUGACGUUACCCGCAGAAGAAGCACCGGCUAACUCCGUGCCAGCAGCCGCGGUAAUACGGAGGGUGCAAGCGUUAAUCGGAAUUACUGGGCGUAAAGCGCACGCAGGCGGUUUGUUAAGUCAGAUGUGAAAUCCCCGGGCUCAACCUGGGAACUGCAUCUGAUACUGGCAAGCUUGAGUCUCGUAGAGGGGGGUAGAAUUCCAGGUGUAGCGGUGAAAUGCGUAGAGAU